AGCAAGUCCUGCAAACCAGUCUUACUGUCCACUGCUAUAGUCUUCAGCAACCAGGAUACAGUGGAGGUCCUAUCCCUGCAUCCGUCCAUAAAUACUGUAUAUCAAAUUGUGAACACCCCCCUGCUGUGUCCGGUGAAGGGAACAAGGCAUCCAUUUGAAAGUCAGCCAACACCUAAGAACAUAUACUCCCAAGCGUAGCACAUCAUGCAAUACAGCAAGUUGCUCAACGCACCGUCUGCAUGAACCAGUAUAGGAGGCAGACCAAGUAACCGUGACAACGCACAAUAUGGGAUCGCCAGGUUUCUUGCGGAUCUGAAAGAACAAACCCAUAUUCCUGAGACACACAGAACUCCUGCAGGUCGAUUCCCUGAGUUAGCACCAGCCUGUGCAAGUCUU